UAUAAAGUUUAUCUAUAAAAUUAAAGUUUCUCUAAGAUUAUUGUUGAAUAUGAAUAUCAAAACUACCGUUUUGUAAUGUGUAGUUUAAGUUUUUUUUAAAGAACGAGUAUUGCACAUAAUUUUAAGAUAGUAUGAGAAAAAAAUACGAAUUUAUAAAAUUUUGUAAUUCAAUGCUUAUACUGAUCAACUAUAUAUAGAAAUUGUACAAAAUUCUUAUGUAUCAGCGCGUCCGUCACACUCUAUUAUAAUUACCAUUCUUUUCAUGGAUUGGACAAAAUUAUAAUAAUCAUACAAUUUAAAUGCCUUUUUUCAAGAUAAAAUUUAAAUGCUUUAUAGUGAAUCGUUAUAUAAAUACUAGUGUAGAGACCCGCGUGAUGCAGCGGGAAGAUAAUAAAAACAAAAUUUUAAAAAUUUUAAUAAAAUUUAUAUUAAAGCUUAUUGAUAUAUAGGAAGGUAUAUCAUGUUAAGCACAGUCAAUUUGUAUGACUAAAUUUAACUGUUAAAAAAAUAAAAUUAUGGCUAGAAUUCACUCAUUGAUAGAAUAUUAAUAUAGUGUAUGUAAUUAAAUAUUAUACCUUGCAUGUAAUUAGAGAAAUAGGGAGGUGAAGGGUUGGGUGUUAAGAAGAAGAGAAAGUGGUUUGAUUUAAAGUUAGGUUAUGAGAAUGAAGGCUAACAUACAAAAGAGUUACAAAAGAGAGGGAAUGGAAAAUUAAUAGAGAAGGGGAGUGGAUUAAAGUUAUAAAGCCCACUAAUAUUAAUAUGGUGCAUGUAAUUAAAUGUUACACCUUAUAAUUAGAGAAGUGGAGAGGUGAAGGAUUUAACGUUGAGAAGAGGAAAAGAUGGUUAGAUUUAAAAUUAAGUUAUGAGAAUGAAAGAUAACAUGUCAUAUGACAAAAAUUAUUGUAGCUUCAUAUAGGUUUAUGGACGUUAGUUAUAAAUUAUAGAAUGCGAGCUUAAUUAAGUUGGUGUUCAAUUAUUAUUA
rnacentral:lncRNA from 1 species